UUGAGAUCCUGAGGCUGCAGUGAGAUGAGAUUGCACUGCACUCCAGCCUGGGUGACAGAGGUAGACCCUGUCUCAAAAAACAGCAGUUUAAAAAAAAAAAAACCGUGGCACUGACUUAAAGUAGUCCAAUAGAACAGAUAGAGAGUUCAGAAGCAGACUGUCCAUAUAAGGAAACUUGAGUUUUGAUAGAGACAGCAAGGCAGAUCAGUGGGAAAAGAUGGAAUAGUCAGUAAACCUCUCAUACAAGGAUGAGAGGUUAUCCUUGUAUCCCAAGAGGAAAAAUAAAAUUGGAACCCUACAUCACUCCCUACUCAAAAAAUCAAUUUCUGGUAGACUAAAUACUGUUCUGUAAAACACAAAUACAUAAAACAUUUAGAAUACUAUGUGGGAAAGUAGCUUUAAAAUUCCAAAGCAAGGAGGUCUUAAAUAAACACAAAAGAAUAUGAACCACAAAGGAAAAGAUGGAUACACUUGACUCCGUUAAUAUUAAGGACUUCUGUUUAAUAAAGAAAGAACAGAAUGAGGCUGGGUGAGGUGGCUCACGCCUGUAAUCCCAGCACUUUGGGAGGCCGAGGUGGGCGGAUCACGAGGUCAGGAGAUCGAGACCAUCCUGGCUAACACGGUGAAACCCCGACCCUACUAAAAAUACAAAAAAUUAGCUGGGCACAGUGGUGGGCACCUAUAGUCCCAGCUACUCGGGAGGCUGAGGCAGGAGAAUGGCGUGAACCUGGGAGGCGGAGCUUGCAGUGAGCCAAGAUCAUGCCACUGCACUCCAGCCUGGGCGACAGAGCAAGACUCCAUAUCAAAAAAGAAAAAAUACAGAAUGAGAAAAGAUAAGCUAGGACUAGGAAAAUACAGAAUGGGAAAAGACAAGCUACAGAAUAGGAAAAUAAAUUUGUACCUAGACAAUCAAUAUGGAUUAUUGUGCAGAACAGACUUUAUAAUCCCCACCUUCAAUCAGUAAGAAAAGACUAAAAACUUAAUAGCAAAAUACACACACACACAAAGAUAGGAAGAGGUCUGUCAUAGAAGAGGAAAGAGGAAUGAGCAAAACACACAGGAUAAGUUGUUCAACCUCAUUAGUAUUUUGAAAAAUGCAAAUCAAAAUCACGAGACACCAUUUCACACAUACCAGAUGGGCACACAUUUUGAAGUUAGACAAUAUUCAAAUGUUGACAAGGAUUCUGAGCAACAGGAACUCAUAUUCAUUGUUGGCAAGACUGCAAAUUGGUGCAACUUUGGAAAAUAAUUUUGCAUUACCUAAUAAGGUUUGAACAAAUACAUAUCCAACAACACAGUAGCUCUGCUCCUGGGAUGUACUUUAGGGCAGUGGUCCCUAGACCAGCAGCAUCAGUAUCACGGGAACUUGUUAGAAAUGCAAAUUCUCCAGCAACUAGACCUACUGAGGCAGAAACUCUAGGGCUGGGGCCCAGCAACCUGGGUUUCAGUAAGCCCUUCAGGUGACUCUGAUGCACAUCCAAGGGUAAGAAAUGUUUGCACACAGCACCAGGAGAGAAGAACAGCAAUGUUCCCAACAGCACUUCUUUAGAGAAACCACAAACUGGAAACUCUGAUGUCCUUCAACAGUGGAAAGGAUAAUUAUUUUAUAUCAGAAUAGUGAAAAGAAAUGAACUACUAUUAUUACACUUAUUGGCAUGGUGAGUAUCACAAACGUAAAAGUGACUGGCAGAAGCAUGUCACAGAGACAUAUAUGCAGUAUAAUUUCAUUAUCUAAAGGUCAAAAACAAGUAACUCAACAAUAACCUGUUUAGGAAUAUGCACAUACAUGGUACUCUCAUGAAGAAAAGCAAAGGGCUGCUUUCCACACAAUUCAGGAGAGCGGGUCUGUUUAUGGGGAAGGAAAGGGAACGUACUUGGGCAGCAGGGGACCAGGUUUAAAGGCAGAGGGAAUACUCUAUUUUUCAGCUAGGUGGGAGGUACACUGCUGUUCAUUUUACUAUUUUAAAAAAAUAGUUUAUAUUUAGGCCGGGCACAGUGGCUCACCCUGUAAUCCUAGCACUUUGGGAGGCUGAGGCGGGUGGAUCAUUUGAGGUCAUGAGUUUGAGACUAGCCUGGCCAACAUGGUGAAACCCUGUCUCUACUAAAAAUACAAAAAUUAGCCACGCAUGGUGGUAUGCGCCUGUAAUCCCAGCUACUCAGGAGGCUGAGGCAGGAGAAUCACUUGAGCCUGGGAGGCAGAGGUUGCGGUGAGCUGAGAUCACACC
rnacentral:lncRNA from 1 species